GCUGGGCGUGGUGGCGCAUGCCUGUAAUCCCAGCUACUCAGGAGGCUGAGGCAGGAGAAUCACUUGAACCCAGGAGGUGGAGGUUCAGUGAGCUGAGAUUGAGUCACUGCACUCCAACCUGGGUGACAGAGUGAGACUCUGUCUCAA
rnacentral:SRP_RNA from 1 species